AUUGAACGCUGGCGGCAUGCUUUACACAUGCAAGUCGAACGGUAACAGGCCGCAAGGUGCUGACGAGUGGCGAACGGGUGAGUAAUGCAUCGGAGCGUGCCCAGUCGCGGGGGAUAACGCAGCGAAAGCUGCGCUAAUACCGCAUACGAUCUACGGAUGAAAGCGGGGGACCGUAAGGCCUCGCGCGAUUGGAGCGGCCGAUGUCGGAUUAGGUAGUUGGUGGGGUAAAGGCACACCAAGCCGACGAUCUGUAGCUGGUCUGAGAGGGCGACCAGCCACACUGGGACUGAGACACGGCCCAGACUCCUACGGGAGGCAGCAGUGGGGAAUUUUGGGCAAUGGGCGCAAGCCUGAUCCAGCAAUGCCGCGUGCAGGAAGAAGGCCUUCGGGUUGUAAACUGCUUUUGUACGGAACGAAACGGUCCUGGUUAAUACCCGGGGCUAAUGACGGUACCGUAAGAAUAAGCACCGGCUAACUACGUGCCAGCCGCCGCAGUAAUAC
rnacentral:rRNA from 1 species